CUAAUGCCUCAUGAGUGAUAUGCACUCGAUCCCAUAAUAGCAGGUUACAGUAGAGUGGAAAAUGGAGUGCAAGAACAUGAAUGAAUGGUGUACAGCAGAGGAAAAAUAUUAUUUUGACACUAAUUCAGUGUCGACGCAGUUUUUGUGGUGGUCUGAAGCACUGGUUCCCCUAUCAAGGUUCCCAACAGGAUGUGAGACCCCAGUAAACACAAUCUUGGGGAUUCAAUGGUUAAUAAUGCAUGUAUGUAUGUAAAUCAAUCUUUAGAUUUUUCUUUUUCUCUUUGGGAAUGUUUUUUUCACCAUGACAUUUUGUCGUACACGUGGAGAUACCACUCAUCUAAUUAAGCUCUAGUUUUUAUCAAAGCUUGAAAGUGACUAGGUUAUGUGCACUCUGCAUUAUUAUGAUUGAUUUGUUAAAUUUUGAAA